AUUGAACGCUGGCGGCAUGCCUUACACAUGCAAGUCGAACGGCAGCACGGGUGCUUGCACCUGGUGGCGAGUGGCGAACGGGUGAGUAAUACAUCGGAACAUGUCCUGUAGUGGGGGAUAGCCCGGCGAAAGCCGGAUUAAUACCGCAUACGAUCUACGGAUGACAGCGGGGGGCCUUCGGGCCUCGCGCUAUAGGGUUGGCCGAUGGCUGAUAUGCUAGUUGUGGGGGUAAAGGCCUACCAAGGGGAGUAUCAGUAUCUGGGCUGAGAGGACGACCAGCCACACUGGGACUGAGACACGGCCCAGACUCCUACGGGAGGCAGCAGUGGGGAAUUUUGGACAAUGGGCGAAAGCCUGAUCCAGCAAUGCCGCGUGUGUGAAGAAGGCCUUCGGGUUGUAAAGCACUUUUGUCCGGAAAGAAAUCCUUGGCCCUAAUACGGUCGGGGGAUGACGGUACCGGAAGAAUAAGCACCGGCUAACUACGUG
rnacentral:rRNA from 1 species